GGUUUUGGGGCUCCUCGGGGGGGAUUUGGGUGGUUUUGGGGCUCCGCUGUAGGAAUUUGGGUGGUUUUGGGGCUCCCAGGAGGAAUUUGGGUGGUUUUGGGGCUCCCCCUGAAGAGUUUUGGUGGUUUCAAGGCGCCCCUGUGGGGAUUUUGGAGGUUUCGAGGCUCCCCGGGGGGGGGAUUUGGGUGGUUUUGGGGCUCCCCCAUAAAAGUUUUGGUGGUUUCGGGGCUCCCCGUUGGGAAUUGUGGCGGUUUUGAGGCUCUCCGGAAGAACCGUGGAGGUUUUGGGGCUCCCUUGGGGGGAUUUGCGUGGUUUUGGGGCUCCCCGGGGGGAUUCUGGUAGUUUUGGGGCUCCCCAGGAGGGAUUUUGGGGGUUUCGGGGCUCCCCAGAGAGACCAUGGGGGUUUUGGGGCUCCCUUGGGGGAAUUUGAGAGGUUUUGGGGCUCCUCUGGGGGGUUUGGGGGAGGUUUUGGUGCUCCCCCGUAAGAGUUUUGGUGGUUUCGGGGCUCCCCGGGGGGGGGGUUGGGUGGUUUCAAGGCCCCCCCAGGCCCCUCUCUACACCCCUGCCAGGACCCAGAGGCCCCCCCCUCUACACCCCUGCCAGGACCCAGAGGCCUGGGUGUGGCGCUGUGGGCGUGGCUAUAGAGAUAAGCCACGCCCACCUGGCCCCGCCCCUCUUGUGAUGCAACGCGGGGGGGGGGGGGCGGGCAGCGAGGCCUGGCGGCCAUCUUGGGGCCUGCGGGCCCUCGGAGAGGCCUCCUCGACUAUAAUUUAAUUAAAGGAGCGCUAAUUAAUUAAUUAUCUGUAUUUUUAUUAAUUAAACGCUCGUUAAUCACACGCUGAUUGCUCCCUGAUUAAUUCCGCGCCCCUUAAUUGCGUUAAUUAAUCAGCCCCGCUCUCAGUUGGCUGCUUCUUCCCCCCCUUAUCUCCCGUUGCCAUGGCAACAGCUCCGCCGCGCCCAUUGGCCGCCGAGCGUCACGUGCCCCGGCUGAGCCUUCCCGCCGCGCGCAUGCGCGGGGCCGGCCGCCAGCACCCCGCGGGGAGGGGAGGGGCGGGCAGCGGGACGCCCGGCGCAUGCGCGGGAAGGGCAGCGCCCGCUUCGCCGCCUGUGCGCGUGCGCAGAACCCUGCGCGCUUCCCCCCUCGCGGCGCGGUUGGUUCCGGCCGCUCUUAAAGGGGCCGCGGCGGCGCCGGGCGGGACCACCGGAGGGGGCGGGGGGGGGCCAUGGCGGGCGGCGAGGGGAGCAGGAACGUCUUCCUGUUCGUGCCCAACAUCAUCGGCUACGUGCGGGUGCUGCUGGCGGCGGCCGCCUUCGUGCUGAUGCCGCGGGAGCCGGGCCCGGCGGCCGCCUGCUACGUGCUCAGCGCCCUCCUGGACGCCGUCG
rnacentral:lncRNA from 1 species